UACGGAGGGUGCAAGCAUUAAUCGGAAUUAUUGGGCGUAAAGGGCGCGUAGGCGGAAUUGUAAGUCAGAUGUGAAAUACCGAGGCUUAAUCUCGGUGCUGCAUUUGAAACUACAAAUCUAUGAGGAUAGACGGAGAAAACGGAAUUCCACGUGUAGCGGUGAAAUGCGUGGAUAUGUGGAAGAACACCUGUGGCGAAAGCGGUUUUCUAGUUUAUUCCUGACGCUGAGGCGCGAGAGCAAGGGGAGCAAA
rnacentral:rRNA from 1 species